CGGGGACUCGGUGCGGAGCCGGGGCGCCGAGUGUCUCCGUGUCCCUCUGCCCCAGCCGGCGGCCGCGAUGGUGGAGCUUGGCCUCUCGCUCUCUCCCGCCUCUCCAGCGACUGCUCUGCCGGCCGCGGAGGUCGGAUCGAGCGGUCAUUCAUUCAUUUGUUAAUUCGUUCACUUAUUCAGGGGAGAUCAUUGAACCCCUACGGAGUACCGGGUACUGGGCCGGGCGCUGAGGACGCGGGGCUGAGCAAAAGCAGCCGAGGCCCACCUUCGUGCCCCUUAAAACCCAGCGUGCGGGGCGGCAACGAGUACUGCUUUUCUGUUUUGCACUUAAAAUUUACAUUUUGCAUCCGUACUUUUUAUUUACUGUGCACCCUUACGGCAUGCUUUACGCACCCGUACCUGCACCUCCUAGCCUUGAGUGUAGACACCAGAUCCUGAGAUGGGCGAUUUUUCGAGAAUAAUUUUUACCCUAAGUGGAUUUUCGUGCCACGCAUGGACUUGGAACUACACACACGUAGUCCAAAACGUGAAAGUCAAAAUGCAGCUUUGCCAAGUGGCAGGGAGAAAGGAGAGCUGAGAAGAUGAGGAGAGGAAGGGCGCGCUCCAGGCUUUCCAGCCCGGGUGCGGUAGACGUAGCCCUGAAGGAUGAACCCAGGCUGGUAGUAGGGCGGCGGGAGGGCGGGGGGACCUGUCAGUCAAGUCCAAAGCAGAAACGCGGCGCCGGAUCCCAGUCAGAGGCCGGCUGGAACGCUUCCCACAGGCUCCUGGCGCUCCGGUCCCCACCAGGCGACCUUGAUCCUGGCGUGCUCAGCGGAGCCAGCGCAGCGUCGGGAGCUGGAGAGACGCGGGGCGCCGGCUGAGCGCUCCUGCCCUCUGCCUCUGGGCUAGCCUCUGGCCCGGCCUCCCGGCCUCCCCCAGGGUACGCUCUCCCCCAAGAGCGAACACCAGCUUUGGGAUCGCCAGCAGCCACGUCUCUGCUUCUAGAUCUCUUUUUUUUUUCUUUGAGACUUAGUUGAUAGCUGUUUAAGGAAUUAUGUGGAGGAAAUCUCACCUCCGACCCCCGCCCCCGUUGAGCACGGCCGGCCAGGGUCGCUGGGUGGGCCAGGAGGAAAGAAAGGGGCGGGGAAGAAGCAGCAAUUUUACUUUAAAUUAAAAUGACACAAAAAUAUUUUUUCAACUCAGAUCUUUCUGAGACAUCCCCAGAAAGCGUUGCAAGCUGUGAUUACACCUAAUGUGAGAGCAUGAACUAAUUUAAGAGGUGAGAGCUGCAUAAUGAGGCUGCCUCCCGUGUAGCAGCCAAGACUGGCAGCUCUGGCGGCGCGCUGGAGGGGACCGGGAGGGGCACCCUUGUAGAACCAGUCCCUGGCGCCCUGGGAUCUUCUCAGUGCCCUGGCGCUGUGUUGUCGGUCACUCCACAGAUAUUACAGGGUGCCUCCUGAAUGCCGGGUUGCAAUCAAGAGCAAGAGAUGGGGCGAGUGAAAGAGCCUGUUUUCAGGAGCUCAGCAUCAGGAUGACGAUUACCUAGAGGGAGGUGGUGGCCAGCCUCCCCCUCUUCUCUUCAUGCUGAGGCUCUGGUGGGCAGUGCCCAAGCCUGAACUGCCAUCUGUAUGCCAGUGGUUACCCAACUUGUAUUUUCAGUCUUAGCCUCUCUCUGGUCCAGACUUGUCAUUCUAAGGGCCCUUUUUCACUGACUCACAUUGUCUCCUCCCUCCCUGCCUUCCAAACUCAGCCUUUUCCUUUUUCCCUUUCCCACUGACAACAGCUGCACGACCCCCCCGCCCCCCCACGAGGUGAAAAUUCCCAAGAACCCCAUGUCUAACCUAACUCCCUCUCUAUGUCCUGUUGCUUGAGCCAUUCUCAUUAGGCUGCCUGUUCGGAGUUCAUUAUCUCCUAAUUUUUCAUCCAGGAAUUGAUGAAGAAUCACCUACUGCCUCUCCCACACACUGUUUAUUCUUUCAUUUGAUGAUAUCUGUUAAGUGCCCUGAGAUAUGUAACCUCCACUUCCCUCCCAUAUAAGUGAGAUUUCACGUUGAUUACUUCCUUGGCUUUCCUCAUCCCUUAUCCACAUAGCAUGUGUUCAAAAUAAUGAAUAUUAAUUUAAUGUUAAUAGAUAUGUGCUUUCCUGAAUUGUGAGGAUUAAAUGAAAUCAUGUAUAUAGGGAGGAAAAUCCAUUAGAAACCUCAAAAGCAGUUAUGUUUAUUUUUGCUAUUGUCACAUUGUUAGAGUCAGAAUUCUUUUAGCUGCAAGUGACAAAACCAACUCAAACUGGCUUAAGGACUUUAUUGGUUGAUGCAAAAAGCCUCGGGUUAGGUCUUGCCAUUUAAGGUAGGGCUGGAUCCAUCAAUCCGGGUUACCAGGAUCUGUUUUCUAGUUGUGGCUUCAUUUUCAGACAAGUUGUUUCCAUAUGAUAGCCUCAUAGAAGGUACUACCAGCUUAGUCCUAGCAAGAAAAAAGAGUACUUACUCUUCAAUAUUUGCAGCAGAAGUCCCAGGUCUGUUCUUAUGAGGGCAGUUUGAGUCACUUGCUCUUCUCUGAACGUGGAGAAGGCACUGUUUAGAUGAUGGAGGUUGGAUUCAGGUGCAUCCCCUGGAAUGGGGUUUGGCAUUAGCUUCACGUGGUCUAGAAUAAAGGGGUUCUCCAAAGGAAAAUUAGGGUAGGAAUGCUGAGUAAGCAGAACAAACAGAUGUCUACUUUAGUCCUUCCCAAAGGGUGAGCUGCAAUACAUUGCAGACUAUCAGAAUGGUGAUGAACACGGAUGCAGUAGCCAAGAAAAUAGAUGUGUGUUUGUCGUGGUCUUUUUCAGUCUUCAAGAUCUCAGUUAAACAUGAAGUCAACCACUCACUAUGAUGUUAUUUGAGGUUUAGCUUUGAAGUGGAAAUGUACCACAAAUAGUAGAGCCAGAUAAAUACAAAUAAAUAAUUUUAACAGUCCAUUCUAAAAGAUUUCUUUGGUAAUAUUCUGUUGGAAUUGAUUUCUAUCUUUUCAUUUGUUAGGUUCCUGGAAAGUGAAAAUUUCAUUUCUUUGUGGACAGGUACCUAAAAUGUCUCAUUAUUCAUCAAUUAAUGAAAAACAAAUGAAAAUUUGAGAGAGAUAUUCUGAAGAAUAAAAGGAUCAAGUUGGGUCAUUUCUAAAAUGUAAGAUUAUAAGGUUUAACUUGCUAAGACUUUUGAGGGGUUGAAUUAUUGGUAAAUUAUUAUAGAACCACUUAUCUGAGGCUUUUAAAAGUGAUGUGUUACAGAGAUUUAGGGAACUGCAAGAUUGCAGAUAAAGAAUUUAUACUGUCAACUGUUCUAUACUUUACCUUCUGCUUUAAAUGCGGCCUUAUAUUUUGAAGUCAAACAUUUAUUUUCUCUCACUGCGUUCUGAAUUUCCUACCACAGUGCAUUUUGAGAAAUGAAUAUAACAGCAGUCUUCAUAGAUGCCAUAUUCAUGGCAACUCUGUCCCCCGCCAACACCACACCCUGGAAAAAAACCAACUUUCUAUUGUUGGAAUGAGGUAACAUUUUCAGGAAAAGGGAACCAUUUUCUCACAGGAUAUAGAACAAAUUCAACCUUUUAUUAAAUCAAAAUGGAUUCUCUAAUGUUUAUACAUAUCAUAUAGGAUUUCAUCUCUUUCAAUCUUGGUUCAAAGGCCCAGACAGUACCAUUCCCUAGUAUUUAGUCCAUUUGCUCAUAAAGCAGAAGAGAAAAGCUACUUUGUUCCGAAGGGUGUUAGAUUUAGGAUUCCAAGGUUAUUUCAAAUUAAUGCCUGGAACUAGACUAUAAAAUGCAGGAAAGAUUCUAAGUUGUUCAAAGAUGAAAUAUCUUAACUUUCACCAAAAACUCUGUCUUCUGGGUAUUUUUUGUUUUUCUGCCUUUCCAGAUUUAUUUUAAAUACAACAUUUUUGCUGUUUACAUUUUUAAAAGUUACAUUUCAAAAUUGUUCAUAAUUGGACACUUUCAUAAAAUGUAGGCAAAUGCAGUUUUACUUUUUAAUGAAGGACAAGUCUGUUGAUAACAUUUUGAUUCUUAAAAUUUUUUUUAUCUUAUAAAAAUGAAACAAUGCAUUUAAAGUGUCUUCAGCUCUUAUGUUAAUACCAAAUUAUACAUUUUCUUAGCCCAUGUUCAGGAGAGACAAUAUAUCUUCCAAAUUAAGAGAAGCUGGCACCAUUUUUAAAACAAGGCCUUGAAUCUGCUGUGGUAUGUGCUGGUAGGAAUUUUGUAUGAAGCUGUUAUUGAAGUAGAUGACAUUAAGGUCAAAGGAAAAAAAAAACAGAAAAUAAUGUAAUCCUACAGAGCUGCUCUUAAGAUCUUGAGAGAAAAACCACGUAGGUAACAUCAAACACUAGUUGGAAUCUUUCCAAGAAGUAAUUAUCUGUGUGCUGUUUGUGGUGGUUGAUUAUGGGAACAAACCAAGGUUUAGCCAAUUCAGCAAACAUUUAUGGAGUGCCUGCAAUGUGCAUGUCACUGUUUUAAGGCCUGUGCCUACUGUAAAGGUGACCCACACAUGAUGCCUGCCUUGCAGGACUUGGAGUUCAGCGAUAAUAAGAGAUGCAUACCUGAAAAGCCUAUUUAAGACUCUUCCGGUUCUACAAAGAAGGCUUCUUGAAAGUGGUAGCUUUGAUUACUCUUUGGAUUUAUUUACAUUUAUCCUAUAAUCAGAAGGUAUACAAAACAGACUCACACAUAUAUAAAAUUAAUAGAUUAGAUAGCAUUUAAACAAAUAUUUCAGGUAGGUACUUCAAAUGCAUUUGACAUUUAUCAAAGAAAUGGUAAGUGCUGUCAUCCGUGGGUGGCUGGAUUAACAUGUGGGACUACUUAUCACCAAUUUUGUUAGGGAUCUUAGGGAAAUUCCUGGAUCUUAUAUUCACAAGCAAUUGUAUAAAUACUUCCCACAGCUCAGAGACCUAAUAGGAUGGGGUCUUAGAGAAACAUCUUUUGAGCCACAGACUUCUUUGUUACCAGAAGGAAAAUGAAAGAAGAAAUUUAAAUACCACUUGAAGAGAGGUGAGAACCCUUUGUUAAGCUGUGUAACCUCUGUGCAUAGUUUCCUCAUCAGCAAAGUCAGAAAAAGUAUGUACCUGAAGGACUGAUUGUAAGGCUGGGAUGAGAGAAUCCAUGUGAUCAGCCCUCACCAACAGGUGCUGCCCAGUUCAUGAGUGCUGCUGCUGUCCUGCCCAAGUACCCAGCUUGCAGAGUGCCAGAGUUAGAGUCCCAGGGGUGUUCUCCACAGCUGCAUGCUUGAUCCAGGCCUAUCAGGUGAGUUGGCUCUUGGCUAGUGGUUUUUCUUCUCUUGCUGUACAAAAGUCCAGACAGUAAUGUCUUUUUUUCAUUUUUAUAGAUAUAUUCCAUUGAAAGUCCUCAUUCUCAAAUUUAAAACAAAGACUUUUUGUGUACCUCAAUAGCAAUGCACACACAGUUGGCUUCACAAACAUAUUGUACAUUUCUUUUUUUCAUAUUUAUUCAACAAAUGUAUAUUGACUACCCACCGUGUGACAGGUGUUAUUUGUUGACGGAACCAGGCAUCAUCAGCAAACAAAACUGACAAAGCUUCCUGCCCUCUGUGGAAGGCAUCUGAGGAAGAGACUGGAUUUUGUAGCAACAUGUUAUUCUCAUUAUAAACUUUAUCAUUGGAAUACUAAAGCCAAAUCAUCCCCCAUCUCCUUGAUCAGGAUACCCACUUAAUCUAGGCAGCUACACAAUUGUGAGAGCCUUUGUUUUUUUCUGCUGAAACAUCCUUAAAAAGAUACCUCACAACCCAAGAUUUGGCUUUUCUUAAAUACGAUUUUUAAUUUUUUUCAUUUCUAUCUAGAGAUUUAAUUGGAAAUGGAAAAUCAUCAAUUUUCCAAUUAAAUGUCUGUUCCAAUCAACAUUAUACCUUUUAGGUUGUCAUUGUCAUUUUUAAGUUUAAGCAACUUUAAGGAUUUUGAAUCUGGCUGCCUGUAAAUUAAAGGUGAAAGUAAUCA
rnacentral:lncRNA from 1 species